rnacentral:rRNA from 1 species
CACGUAGGGCGCAAGCGUUGUCCGGAAUUAUUGGGCGUAAAGCGUGCGCAGGCGGCUUUGCAAGACAGAUGUGAAAUCCCCGGGCUUAACCUGGGAACUGCAUUUGUGACUGCAUGGCUGGAGUGCGGCAGAGGGGGAUGGAAUUCCGCGUGUAGCAGUGAAAUGCGUAGAUAUGCGGAGGAACACCGAUGGCGAAGGCAAUCCCCUGGGCCUGCACUGACGCUCAUGCACGAAAGCGUGGGGAGCAAACAGG